ensembl:lncRNA
GGCCCUACCCAUGGCAUAUGGAAUUUCCCAGGCUAGAGUCUAAUCCAGGCUUCAGCUUCUGGCCCACACCACAGCCACAGAAACACCAGAUCCAAGCCAUGUCUGUGACCUACACCAUAGCUCACAGCAAUGUCAGAUCCUUAACCCACUGGGCAGGGCCACUGACCCACAACUGGAACUCCCCAUAUAUUUUCUUAAUAAUUAUUAUUAAUUAAGAGUAAUAAAGAAGCCUGUCUCAGUCAAAGAUUAUCCAAUGAGUCUUAGUAAAUCAAGAAAACAUGACAAUUUAGAUAAGCUGGGUCAUUGUUGGAUUGUAUUUUUACAUCAUAAACACACGGACCUCACUCUCUCACUCUGUAUAUAGCAUAUGAAUCUGUGUGAGCUGAGUAAGUAAUUCUGUAGGUGAAUGUGUGUUUACAUAUGUGUAUGUGUUCUACUAGCUGGAAAAGAACAGAGUGAAUAUGGAAGUAUAAUAAUAAAUAGCAGAAAACAUUGUAUUAGACUGAUAAUUCAGUGUUUGUUCCUUGUAUGUUGCCUAAUAAACAGUGCAAUGUGUUACCAAAGCUUUUCUGAUGUGUCAUUCCCAACAAAAGAGUAAACUUUCUGAUAAAUUAAUGAUUUUUCUUUGUAAAAUGUCUUACAAUGAUGUCCAUAAAUUAUUCCAAAUUGAAAUGUAUUAAUCUUAUUAUUAUAUGAAAAAAUCCCUUGGGAUAAGAGGUGAAAGAUCAAAAGUUUCACACAUUUGGUUCAUUUUAAGAAAAUGAAAUAUAAUAUGCAUAAAAUAAUUUGAAAUCAAUGCAUUUUUUCACUGAUUAAUGAGCAAAUGUUUGUAAAGACAAAAUUUUCAAAACUAUGAUAAUCAAACUACUUACAAAAUAUUGAAAAUAAUGAAACUUUUAGAUUUGGCUAAGUCAGAGUCAUAGAAUAUCUGUCUUUAGAGAAUUAAUAAUGAAAAAAGAAAGCUAUGUAUCAGCAGUACUUUUUAAAAUCAGCAUUCCAUACAGGAUAAAUGGACCAAAAAACAUUGCUAUGAUCUCAGGUGUCCUAGCUUAUUGAUAAAUAAUUAUUUAAUUCAGCUUUGGCUAGAGAGUAUGACCCCAAAGAUGAAAAUUUUCAAGUUUCAAGGUUGAUAAUUUAUGUUUUUUAAUUCAGAUGAUCAAUGUAUAAUACAAAUGACUUGUUUCCUGUGUUAAAAAUACUAUAUUUUGACAAUAUUUUUACUAAUUGGGUUUAAAAACAUAAAAUCUUAUUUGACCAUUUAUAAACAGUAGCCAAAUAGAUUUAACAUAUUAUAGAACAUAAACAAGCACAAGCAAAUUAGUUUGCCAUAAACUCUGUACAGAAUGUUUCCAACUUUAGGCUUAUGAUUUUAUUGACUAACAAAAUGGAAACAAGAGCCUUUAUUGAAAAAAUCCUCCCUAUUUCUAGAUUUUUUUGAUCAAGUGAUUAAUAGCUCUUUAAAAACAAUUAAUAUUUGUUUCCAUGUUCAACAACCUGUAAAUUUAAGUGUUUUUUUUUUAAUUUAAUGAAAAAAAAUACAGGAUGUUUAGCUUAAGGUAUUUUUUUAUUUUUUAGGGCCAUGCCUGUGGCAUAUGGAAGUUUCCAGGCUAGAAGUUGAAUCAGAGCUAUAGCAACAACAAUGCAAGAUUUGAGCCAUGUCUGUGACCUACACCAUAGCUCGUGGCAAUGCCAGGUCCUUAACCUACUGAGCAAGGCCAGGGAUUGAUCCCACAUACUCAUGGAUACUUGUUGAGUUCACUAACACUGGACCACAACAAGUAGCUUAAGCUAUUUUUGUUAAGUAAAUUUUAGGUACUAUGAUAAGGAAAUAAUAACACACUUCUCAUUGACAUAAUUCUAUUAUCAUUUCAUUUUUACUAUUAAGUUACUGAAGAUUUCAUGCCAUAUCUUGAUAAAGGAGUGAGAAAAGCAGUGUGAAACUGGUUCCCUGGGAGAGAAGUGUAAAAGAAAGUUCAAAUUCAGAAUUUCAAGUUCCAGAUGAGAUGGGGAGCAAGAACAUAUCAUCUUGUGUUUUCCAUUGAAUGCAUCUAUAAAACCUUGACAGAAAAAAAUAUAGCAAUAACCCAAAGACUCUAGAAAAUGAAGAGUAGCAGGCAGAUUGAGGAAGACCAAAAAUCAAAAUGUCAUCAACCUGUGGUGAUUUUUUCCCUCUGUUCUGUAGGCUCUGUCAUGGAAGAGAAAAAUUUGGUCUAAACUCAAAGUUAUUCUAAAGUUAAAAAAAUAUUUAGGGUAUUUUUUAUUUCAGAAAAAUGGAGUAGAUGUACUUUUCCUUAUUCUUCCUGCUAAGUUAAACUAAAAUCCUCAGACAUUAUACAUAAAACAAAAACAAGAAAGCCCUGAAUGGUGGAGAGGAUAAAGCAGACCAAAUAGGGAUCUUGGGAUCUUACAAACAACAUAAUGAUAAGUUCCCUGAUUUCUUGUAGCUGAUAUUGAUUGCUUCCUCAAUUAUACUAAGCUAGAUCCUGGAAAUCUGGCAAUGAAAAAUGCCAAAAGGUAUAGAUUAAAAAGAAAAUCACAAAAAAAUGAACUCUUUCUAGUUAAAGAAAAGGCAAAAAAAGCAAGACAGAACACUUUAGACAAUAACGCCUUAAUUCCACCCAAAAAUCAAAGAAAAAAAUUAUGGUUCCUCCACCAUGGUGCACACCUGCCAGUACCACUUGCCCUCAGGAAGUGUCCCACAGAUAUGGAGUACCCAGGCAAACCCUGCCCAGCUUUGGGUAGUGCAACUCCAAUAGGGCACAGGCUGGCCAGCUUCCUUCACCCUCAAGAAGCACCCCACUGCCAUGGAGCUACUGGCCAGCCCGGCCCACAUUUGGGAAGACCCCUGCUGCUGAAGGGCACCCCAGCAAGUUCUACCCAGUGGCAGGAAGUAUACCACCAGUGCAGCAUGCACUGGUGAUCCUCACCAGGCCUGGGGAAGAACUCCACCACAACAGUGAACCCCAGCCAAGCCUGACUGCCCGUGGGAAGUGCCUAGCCAGGGCAGCAUGACCAGGCCAACCCUGAAGGCCCUCGGGAAGCACUGCACUGCUGACGCAUGCCCCAGACUGUGCCAAAAUACAAUUUGUCUUCCCCCAAAUACACAGAAAAAGAAAAACACAAGCAAGAAGAAGAACCUUAGAAACCAUUCCCAGGAAAAGCAACAGGAAAAUUCAACUAAAGCAGUCAACAAUGAAACAGACCUCUGCAGUUGGACAGACUUUGAAUUCAAAAGGGAGAUAGUGACAGGCAGGACACCCUGCAGCCCAGAAAAGCUACAACAAGCCUGACCGGCCCGGGAAAAGAUCUGCCUAAUUCUCAGACAGUCUUUAUGAGUUGGGCUGCACUGGGGAAGAACCUCUUGGGGUUUCAUCAGUCCAGCUAGCUGCUCCAGCCCUUGGGUGGAGCUGCACUCUUGUGGAACAGCUGCAUAGGACUGUCAGCUCUCUGCAGGACGCCCUGAAGCACAGAAAAGCUACAACAAGCCUGGCUGGGCCAUGAAAAGAUCUGCCUACAUUCUCAGACAGUACUUCUCAGUUGGGGUGACCUAGGGAAGAACCUCGUGGGUUCUCAGUGACCAAGAUAGCUGCUCCAGCCCUCAGGGGAUGCUGCACUCCUGAGGAACAGCUGCCCAACACCGCCAACCCCCUGCAAGAACCCCACAGCCUAAAAACACCAGAGAAAGCUCUGCCUGACCGAGUGAAAUCUGCUACCAUCGUGGUUGUGGAUCUCCCAGUCCUGUCUGCCCUCAGGAAGUCCUCCUUUGCUUCAGAGAGACCCUGUUAGCUCUGCCAACACUCCAGAAAAGCCACACUGCCUCAAAAAAGGCUGACCAACAACACCAGCCCUCAGAAAAUAUUCCAUAGCAGUGCCAAGGCAAACCCUACCCAGCCACGGGGAGUACAACUCCACCAAGAAAAAGAAAACAACAAGCAAGAUGAAAAAGCUGAGAAACCACCCCCAGUUGAACCAACAGGAGAAAUCACCUAAAGCAGUCAACAAUGAAACAGACCUCUGCAGUCUGACAGACCUGGAGUUCAAAAGAGAAAUAGUGAAAAUCCUGAAGGAAUUAAGAGAAGAUAUGAACAGUAAUGCAGACACCCUCAGAAAGGAACUAGAAAAUAUAAGGAGGAGCCAAGAAAAACUAGAACAUUCCUUUGCAGAGAUACAAACUGAACUAAGGGCAGUAAUAACCAGAAUGAAUAAUGCAGAAGAACGAAUCAGUGAUAUGGAAGAUAGAAUAAUGGAAAUCACCCAAUCAGGUCAGCAGACAGAAAACCAAAUCAAAAAGCAGGAAAGAAAUAUAAGAGACCUAUGGGAUAAUACAAAGCAGGCCAAUCUACACAUAAUAGGAAUUCCAGAAGGAGUAGAAAAAGAUAAGGGAAUGGAAAAUAUAUUUGAAGAAAUUAUCACUGGAAACUUCCCAAAUCUAAAGGAUACUGAGUUCAAGAUACAGGAAUCAUAGAGAGCCCCAAACAAGCUGAACCAAAAUAGACCCACACCAAGACACAUUAUAAUAAAAAUGGCAAGAGUUAGUGAUAAAGAGAGGAUCCUAAAGGCAGCAAGAGAAAAGCAGAAUGUUACCUACAAGGGAACCCCCAUAAGAUUAUCAGCUGAUUUCUCUACAGAAACUCUACAGUCCAGGAGGGAAUGGCAAGAGAUAUUUAAAGUGCUAAAAGGAAAAAACAUGCAACCUAGAAUACUCUAUCCACCAUGAAUAUCAUUUAAAAUAGAAGGGGAAAUAAUUUUUGUUUUCAACAAACAAAAGUUAAGAGAAUACAGCAAUACAAACCGAGACUAAAAGAAAUACUGAAAGGGCUUCUCUAAACCAAAAAGAAAGGAAGGAAAGAAAGGGAGGAAAAAGGAAAAAAAAAAAAAAGAAGAAGAAGAGGAAGAACUAGGACUGAGGAAACUGCAAUCAGAGAG